GAGACUCUGUGCGCGUGCAUAUCAAUAAGCGGAGGAAAAGAAACUAACUAGGAUUCCCUCAGUAACGGCGAGUGAAGCGGGAAGAGCUCAAAUUUGAAAUCUUAAAGGGUUUCCCUUUACGAAUUGUAGUUUAAAGAAGUGUUUUCUGUUGGAGUUUCGGUAAAAGUUCUUUGGAAUAGGACAUCAUAGAGGGUGAGAAUCCCGUAUUUGACCGUUACUUUCCAGCUGUGUGAUACACUUUCAAAGAGUCGGAUUGUUUGGGAAUGCAGUCCAAGAUGGGUGGUAAAUUUCAUCUAAAGCUAAAUAUUGGCGAGAGACCGAUAGCGAACAAGUACCGUGAGGGAAAGAUGAAAAGAACUUUGAAAAGAGAGUUAAACAGUACGUGAAAUUGUCAAAAGGGAAGCGUUUGACACCAGUGUUGUUUAGUUGAAAAUCAAUUCAAUAGUUUUUGAUUCUAAGUAGUAUUGACUUCAUCAGCUUGCUGCUUUCUUCUCAGAAAUUAUUGAAUGCACUUUUCAGUUAACAAGUCGACAUCAAUUUCUUUUGUUGUAAAAGGGUAAGAGGAAGGUGGCUUGCGCUUCGGCGUCAAGUGUUUAUAGCCUUUUAUCCUCUGCAAUCGGAGAAAUUGAGGACAGCAGCGUAGACUCUUCGGGGUUAGAUACACUUGUGCUAAGCUAUAGCCUUGUAUAGACAACUUGUUGACUAUGCUCAGUCAUGUAGCUUACUCGCUUGUGCUAUUUUACCUACGCUUAGGAUGUUGAGUCGUAGAGCACGCAG
rnacentral:rRNA from 1 species